rnacentral:misc_RNA from 1 species
UGGUUCUGGCAUNGAUGAAGAACGCAGCGAAAUGCGAUAAGUAAUGUGAAUUGCAGAAUUCAGUGAAUCAUCGAAUCUUUGAACGCACAUUGCGCCCUUUGGUAUUCCGAAGGGCAUGCCUGUUCGAGCGUCAUUUCACCACUCAAGCCUGGCUUGGUAUUGGGCGUCGCGGCUCCGCGCGCCUUAAAGUCUCCGGCUGAGCUGUCUGUCUCUAAGCGUUGUGGAAUUUCACGAUUUUCGCUUCGGAGUGCAGGCGGCCGCGGCCGUUAAAUCUUUAUACAAGGUUGACCUCGGAUCAGGUAGGGAUACCCGCUGA